UACGGGGGGGGCAAGCGUUGUUCGGAAUUACUGGGCGUACAGGGCGCGUAGGCGGCCUUCUAAGUCAGACGUGAAAUCCCUCGGCUCAACCGAGGAACUGCGUCUGAUACUGGAAGGCUUGAAUCCGGGAGAGGGAUGUGGAAUUCCAGGUGUAGCGGUGAAAUGCGUAGAUAUCUGGAGGAACACCGGUGGCGAAGGCGGCGCACUGGCCCGAUACUGACGCUGAGGCACGAAAGCGUGGGGAGCAAACAGG
rnacentral:rRNA from 1 species